GUGCCCGUAGCUCAAUUGGAUAGAGCGUCUGCCUCCGGAGCAGAAGGUUGGCGGUUCAAGUCCGCCCGGGCACA
rnacentral:tRNA from 1 species